rnacentral:lncRNA from 1 species
GCAGAGCUUAAAAGGGAGUUCCUUCACUUGGAGCAGGAGGUUGCUUAUGAGAAAGCUAGACGAAGAGGAACAAAGGAAGGUGGACAGAGUGUGCCCCGUGAAGAUCCUUCGUUGUCCCCGAGAGGCUUUUCCCCGGGAGGCAUGUCCCCAGGAGGGAUGUCCACUGAUCCAACUCCAAUGAAGACUGAUGCAGGUCCAAUGAAGACUGAUCCAC